rnacentral:rRNA from 1 species
UACGUAAGGAGCAAGCGUUGUCCGGAUUUACUGGGCGUAAAGAGCUCGUAGGUGGUUUGUCACGUCGUCUGUGAAAUUCCGGGGCUUAACCUCGGGCGUGCAGGCGAUACGGGCAAUACUUGAGUGCUGUAGGGGAGACUGGAAUUCCUGGUGUAGCGGUGAAAUGCGCAGAUAUCAGGAGGAACACCGAUGGCGAAGGCAGGUCUCUGGGCAGUAACUGACGCUGAGGAGCGAAAGCAUGGGUAGCGAACAGGAUUAGAUA